AUAACGAUGAAGAGUUUGAUCCUGGCUCAGGAUGAACGCUAGCGGCAGGCCUAACACAUGCAAGUCGAGGGGUAACAUAGAAA
rnacentral:rRNA from 1 species